rnacentral:lncRNA from 1 species
ACUUGACUAUGUCCACUAUGACGUAUCGAAUAUGCAAUUAAACGAGAUGUACGAGUCAAAGAAAAAAAUAAAGUUAAUUUGCAGGGUUGAAAUUAAAAGGCUAUAGAUGUAAAUUUUCGCAAAGUAGGGAUCUAUUUGAAAAUGUAAGCAGAGAAAAGGGACGCCCGCUUUUCCGCUUACUGUUUGUAUUUCUUUCUCCUGUGCUAUCACCACUCUAUAGACAAGUAGAAACUAGUACUUGCACGAAUCAUCCCUCGACAAGUAUAUAUAUGUGUAUGUGUGAGUGUAGACAAAGUCGAAUUUUCAAAGUCGACUCGAGCAUUAAGCGCUACAGGCAGUUGGAUAAGUUCUCGUGUUUUUGAUAAUUAGAUAGAGAUAAAUGUUCUUUGUUUCCUAAAAUUGUUUUCUUUGGCCUCUAAGGUGUUCGAGCUGAGAAUUUUUGAGCUAACUGAGUUGGUGAUUCAGAAUUGAGCCACUUCCAUGGCGAACAAUCCAGGAGAGGCCACAUCCGACGACUUCCUGGAGCAAAUACUGCGCUUCCCGGCCUACACCGGCGGAGCAGAGGCUAACAUGGCGGGAAACGACUCGGCUGCCAGCUUGGGAGCAGCGCCGACUCCGAUGAUGCUUCAGCUGAGUUCAGGAGANNN